rnacentral:rRNA from 1 species
UACGAAGGGGGCUAGCGUUGUUCGGAAUUACUGGGCGUAAAGCGCACGUAGGCGGAUAUUUAAGUCAGGGGUGAAAUCCCGGGGCUCAACCCCGGAACUGCCUUUGAUACUGGGUAUCUCGAGUGUGGUAGAGGUGAGUGGAAUUGCGAGUGUAGAGGUGAAAUUCGUAGAUAUUCGCAGGAACACCAGUGGCGAAGGCGGCUCACUGGACCACAACUGACGCUGAGGUGCGAAAGCGUGGGGAGCAAACAGG